GAAGCGCGCCAGACCGCCGCUGGUGCAAUCUGGGAAACCAGGCACUGGAGGAACGUCCGGACUGCACAGGACAGCGUAGCAGCUAACGGCUGCCCACCGUGAGGUGAGGAUCAGAGCAACAGAGACGAGUUUGGGAGCGGAGCAACCCUUGGGUGUUCUGUGGGUCGCCGGCGUAAGCCGGUGCCGAAUGGCGCAAGCCAGUCGGUUCCCGGCGCAAGCCGGGAAAGCCCACAGUCACCUUGGGCGCUCCGCGCCCAAGGUGAAACGGGCAAUCUCUACGCGCAGCAAUACCAAGUAGGCCAACGUUGAUGUGGUUCCGCAGAGUUGGCGGGUAGGUAGCACCGAGCCGUGGUGGCGACACCCGGCCCAGAGUAAUGGCGGUCAC
rnacentral:RNase_P_RNA from 1 species